UAAAAUAAUGAAAUCCUAUUGGUUGGUGAACCCAAGAAUGACUCCUUUUUUUAACCUUUUGAAAUCAACAAGAUCUCAAAUCUGAUUUUAUUCAAACUCACUUACUCUUAUGUCAUAACAUCUAUUCAUUAUUCAUUUUUGUUGCCACUUAUAGCUUCCCAAAAACUGAAUGGAUCAUCUGUAUCAACUGCAAGAACAAUGUUACCUUUUUCUUUACAUCCAUAAUCUAAUAGGAGGCUUAAAUACACAUUUUUAUGCUGGCAACCAUGAUGUCCCUUACUCCACGUGUUUUUUCUUUCUCUGCAGACUACUCCCACCAAUCUACUACUGGUCUAACUUCACUAGACCCUUCCUGAAGUGCUUUUGAAUCUAUGUUAGCCUAAUGAUCACAUGUACUUGGUUUGAUAUUGCCUGUUGCUCCAUGAUUAUUCAUUAAAGAACACAUCUCCAUUAAUUUAUUUUUAGCCUUGUAAACUACAAUUGGGGCUCGCCCUACAACCUAUUCGCCAAUUCGCUUCCAGCUGACAUAUGUCCCUUCAUAACUCAUUUGCAUACCUUUAACACAUCUUUUCGUCCGCUUUGAACUGGAAGCCGUUUCUGUAAAAGCAUGCCCAAAACUUUAUCAAAAUUUUCUUCAUUACUGGAAUAUGCUUGACAUCAUUCAGUCUUGUGAUGGUGCAAUCAUGCAUUCAAAAUUUUAUCUGUCUCACAUCCACGACAUGGAACAA
rnacentral:lncRNA from 1 species